rnacentral:rRNA from 1 species
UACAGAGGGUGCAAGCGUUGUUCGGAAUUAUUGGGCGUAAAGGGCGCGUAGGCGGUUCGGCAAGUCUCUAGUGAAAUCUCAGGGCUCAACUCUGAGUCUGCUGGGGAAACUGCCGGGCUUGAGUGUGGGAGAGGAGAGUGGAAUUCCUGGUGUAGCGGUGGAAUGCGCAGAUAUCAGGAGGAACACCGAUGGCGAAGGCAGAUCUCUGGGCCGUAACUGACGCUGAGGAGCGAAAGCAUGGGGGAGCGAACAGG